rnacentral:rRNA from 1 species
GGGUUAGUAGGUUGGUCAUGCCUCUGGUAUGUACUAGUCUCACUGAUUCCUCCUUCCUGAUGAACCUUAAUGCCAUUAAUUUGGUGUUUUGGGGAAUUUGGACUGUUACUUUGAAAAAAUUAGCGUGUUUAUGCAAGCUAACGCUUGAAUACAUUAGCAUGGAAUAAUGAAAUAGGACGUUCGAUCAUAUUUUGUUGGUUUCUAGGAUUGACGUA